rnacentral:tRNA from 1 species
GCCCUCAUAGCUCAGUUGGUAGAGCGCGCCCUUGGUAAGGGCGAGGUCAUGGGUCCAAUUCCCAUUGAGGGCUCUA